AGUGAACGCUGGCGGUAGGCCUAACACAUGCAAGUCGAACGGCAGCACAGUAAGAGCUUGCUCUUACGGGUGGCGAGUGGCGGACGGGUGAGGAAUACAUCGGACUCUACUUUUUCGUGGGGGAUAACGUAGGGAAACUUACGCUAAUACCGCAUACGACCUACGGGUGAAAGCAGGGGAUCUUCGGACCUUGCGCGAUUGAAUGAGCCGAUGUCGGAUUAGAUAGUUGGCGGGGUAAAGGCCCACCAAGGCGACGAUCCGUAGCUGGUCUGAGAGGAUGAUCAGCCACACUGGAACUGAGACACGGUCCAGACUCCUACGGGAGGCAGCAGUGGGGAAUAUUGGACAAUGGGCGCAAGCCUGAUCCAGCCAUACCGCGUGGGUGAAGAAGGCCUUCGGGUUGUAAAGCCCUUUUGUUGGGAAAGAAAAGCAGCAGGUUAAUACCCCGCUGUUCUGACGGUACCCAAAGAAUAAGCACCGGCUAACUUCGUG
rnacentral:rRNA from 1 species